rnacentral:lncRNA from 15 species
AGGGCCACUGGUACCAGGGACGAGACGCAACUUCCUUCGGCCUGUUGGAUCAGUGAUGCAAAGCCGCAGUUGAGCAGGAGGAAAGCCAAGGACCUGGAAUCCUUUCAAGUUCCAUCUACAAACAAAAACCCCGGUCUUCCUCCCAUUCAUCGCCAGAUUGUUUCAGCCUAUGUGGGUCCCUUUGUGCAGUUUGGCUUCCUGUGUCUGCUCACCUGUGCCUCUGUGUCUCCGGUCUCUUUCGCCAUUUCACCCGCCCGUUCCUGCUGCCCCGUCAUCCCCCUGUGUGUGUGUGUGUGUGUGUGUGCGCGUGGAAUAAAACCCCUUUAAACCUUCCAAACUGUCUGGGUGUCUGCUCCUGGGUCCAGUCCUAACACCAGCCGUGACAGAUCCAUUUAGUCUGUACUUCUUGAAUAUGCUUUCACCAUACCAGCUUUUCUUUGGCUGUGGUGAUGGAUUUGAAAUGUGCCACAAAUUUGGGUGAGAGAAAGACAGAGAAACAGAGAUGGACAGCAAUAACAAUAAUAACAGUAUCUAUACUAUAAUAAAACUAUAAUAAUACAAAUAUGAACUGUGAAUGCGCUGAAUGUUUCUUGAAUGUUAAUGUUGAUGAACAUGUUGCAAAAGACAAAUGGGGGACUGAACCGCUUCUAGCUAAAUAAGAGGAUGUGGAGUACCUCCAGGCUGAGAAUGAGCUCAUGCUUAUCAAGUCAAAUUCUCUCUUGAAGAGAUUCUACACUGAAUAAAGAUACAAGUGGUUUUGGCUUGUGAAAGGACCAAGUAUCACUCCAAGAUUUGAACUUCACGCCACCACCAGUCCAACAGAUUCAUUUUUCCAUUUGCCACAACAUACCUGUCAGAGACUACUUUCAGCACUCUGGUCACCUCUAGAUACCCCAG